GAUGAACGCUAGCGGCAGGCUUAAUACAUGCAAGUCGUGGGGCAGCAGGUCCGUAGCAAUACGGAUGCUGGCGACCGGCAAACGGGUGCGGAACACGUACGCAACUUUCCUUCAAGCGGGGAAUAGCCCAGGGAAACUUGGAUUAAUACCCCAUAAAAUAGUAGGGCGGCAUCACCUAAUUAUUAAAGCUCCGGCACUUGAAGAUGGGCGUGCGCCUGAUUAGGUAGUUGGCGGGGUAACGGCCCACCAAGCCUACGAUCAGUAACUGGUGUGAGAGCACGACCAGUCACACGGGCACUGAGACACGGGCCCGACUCCUACGGGAGGCAGCAGUAAGGAAUAUUGGGCAAUGGAGGCGACUCUGACCCAGCCAUGCCGCGUGGAGGAUGAAGGUCCUCUGGAUUGUAAACUUCUUUUAUCUGGGAAGAAACCCAUGGUUUCUACUGUGGUUGACGGUACCAGAUGAAUAAGCACCGGCUAACUCCGUGCCAGCCGCCGCGGUAACAC
rnacentral:rRNA from 1 species